GCGAACAGCACGGCUUCCGGGUUUGGCGGGGCCUUUGUGUCUCUCUGCAGCCUGAGCUCCAGGUCUCUUCUUCACUGCUCUGUGUCCUCUGCCCCUAGAGGCCCAGCCUCUGUGGCCCUGUGUCCUGUAGGUAUUAGGAGAUCCACAGCUAGGACGCCGGGAUCCCGGAAGCCCGGAAAUGGGUUACAUGUCUUCUGGCCAGAGUUGAUGUCUUCCAGACGGUUCUCUUCCUGCUUCUGCUAUCUUGCUGGCACACACUGCUGAUGCAGGUAGGCUUGCGCCUUGGGACUGGGCCUGGGAAGGGAGGAGUUACUCAUCCCUUCAAGCUUUCAGACCCCGGGGAGAUUCUUUCUUUCCUCUCUUUUUGGUUAUAGAAAGAAAGGGAAAAGGGGUGACUUUCUCAAUAACUA
rnacentral:lncRNA from 10 species